AGGAUGAACGCUGGCGGCGUGCUUAACACAUGCAAGUCAAGGGGGCCCAGCAAUGGGCAACCGGCGAACGGGUGCGUAACGCGUGAGCAACCUACCGAAUUGUGGGGGAUAGCCGGCCCAACGGCCGGGUAAUACCGCAUACGCUCGAGACCAGGCAUUUGGACUCGAGGAAAUUUACGGAGCAAUUCGAGGGGCUCGCGGCCUAUCAGCUAGUUGGUGAGGUAACGGCUCACCAAGGCGACGACGGGUAGC
rnacentral:rRNA from 1 species